GAUGAAGAACGUAGCGAAAUGCGAUAAGUAGUGUGAAUUGCAGAAUUCAGUGAAUCAUCGAAUCUUUGAACGCACAUUGCGCCCCUUGGUAUUCCAUGGGGCAUGCCUGUUUGAGCGUCAUUUGUACCUUCAAGCUCUGCUUGGUGUUGGGUGUUUGUCCUUGCUCUAGUGGCGGGACUCGCCUUAAAGUAAUUGGCAGCCAGUGUUUUGGUUUUGAAGCGCAGCACAAGUCGCGAUUCAAGUCUAUACGCUAGUUUCCACAAGUCUUUUAUCACUUUUGACCUCGGAUCAGGUAGGGAUACCCGCUGAACUUAAGCAUAUCAAUAAGCGGAGGA
rnacentral:misc_RNA from 1 species